AUGGUGGAAAGGUUGCACCACCUCCUAAUGAGAGCUUGCACCAUCGUUGAGGAGGCGGAUGCUCGAUACAUAACAAACUCCGGGAUGAUGAUGCAGCUCAAGAUGCUCUCGGAGGCCAUGUACCGAGGUCACAGCCUCCUCGAUGCCUCGAGGUACCGAGCCCUCCAAGACGGUGUUGGCUUCGACGAGGUUAGCAGCAACGACUCAUCUAGCAGCAGUUUGUAUUUAAUCAUUCCAGAAUUUGCAGUGAGGCGUUCUCGAACAGCAACGGUGAAAGCCAACAAUGCCAUGGGCCUCGACUCACAUGCUGCUUUGGAAACCUUAGAAAUUGCUGCCGCAAACAUGUCAGAGUUUAUUGUGCUUCUGGGUGGAUGUGAGCGCAUGUCCCGCAGGCCAUAUGAUGUUUAUCUUUACACCGACAACUUCAUGUUUAGCCGACAUGCUAAAAAGCAAAAGCUUUUGAGCUUCUUGUUGGAGCACAACGAUCCUUCAGGUGAUCAUGCAUUAGCCAUUCUUCCGCUCAUAGGUGGCGCCGCAGUUGGGAAGAAAACUUUGGUUGCUCAUGUGUGUGGCGAUGAAAGGGUUCGUUCACGCUUCUCCUCUAUUUUGCACUUGAAUGGAGAUAGCCUUUUGGGGAUACUUGGUGAUGGGAGGGCCAUGAUUGGGAUAAUGUUGGUAGUUAUUGAGUUUGCAUCUGAUGUAGGUGAUGAUGACUGGAAAACAUUCCACUCAUUUCUCAUAAGAAUGGGCAGAGGAAGCAAGAUCAUCAUUGCACUCGCCUUCGGAAGUGUAGAGCCAGCAGAACAUCCGCGGCUAAUACAAAUAGCAAAUGAAUUUGCCACGCUGAUCCACAGUUCACAUAUUUCAUUUGUCGCAACAAAUAUGUUCACAGAUGUGUUGAGAAGCAACCUUGAUGUUCAGUUCUGGCGUUGUAUUUUAGACAAGGCAGCAAGAAUGCAACAGCAACAGCAACAGCAACAGCAACAGCAACAGCAACAGCAACAGCAACAGCAACAGCAACAGCAACAGCAACAGCAACAGCAACAGCAACAGCAACAGCAACAACAACAACAACAACAACAGCAACAACAACAACAACAACAACAACAACAACAACAACAACAACAACAACAACAACAACAACAACAACAACAACAACAACAACAACAACAACAACAACAACAACAACAACAACAACAACAACAACAACAACAACAACAACAACAACAACAACAACAACAGCAACAGCAACAGCAACAGCAACAGCAACAGCAACAGCAACAGCAACAACAACACCAACAACAACAACAACAACAACAACAACACCAACAACAACACCAACAAAACCAAUUUUCUUUACUGCUAUGUCUUAUGAUUAGUCGAGGAUAUCCAAGAACUGCCAGAGCACCGUGGCAGCGCACGUUGCCGACAGCGAGGCCACCACGCGCGUGGUCCCUUCCGGAUCUCAAAGUCGACCUAGGCGGCUCUCCUCCCACCAUCCCCGCACUUGACUGCAGCGAACACCAUGGCUCCGCUAGAGGUGGGAUGGCGGUUCUAGGUGCUGGGCGGCGCGGCUCGCUGGUGGCCUCGGUGCUGCCGCCAUGGUGGUCUCGGGAAGGACAAGAUUGGGGAUCGAUUCAUCAGCGAUGUCGACCAACAACUUACACCAUCAAUCCUGGCCAUGGAUGUUGCCAGCUGGCUACUAGUCAAGAUUGUUCGCAUGCUAAAAAAAAUUAUAUCCGGCCGGCCGGGGAGCACAAGUGGAGAGAGCAAGUGGCUCAACUUGCUGACAUGAAACAAGAAGAAACUAGCAAAUCUGGCUGCCGGGAAGGCGGGGAGGCAUUGAGGAGGGAAGGAGGCAGCAGCGUGCGAGCGCCGCAAGCCACAGCCAGGGCUGGCCGACCGACGGCAGCCACGUCGCUGGUCGCCCCUUGCUCAGCCGGUCAGCCCAGAGUGGCAACGGCGCAACCGCAACCGCAGCCGCAACGUCGCUGCCUGCAGAGCCUUGUUGCGGCGGCGGGAAGCGCCGGGGAGGUUAGGAUGGUACCAUUCGGUGCCGGCCGAAGGGUGUGCCCGGGCAUGGGUGUCGCCAUGCUCCACAUGGGCUACAUGGAAAGACUGAAGUGGCGCAAAAUGGACCAUAGAGAGACUGACUGGGUUCUGAAGAUACCAAAAGAGCAAAUGUGCCUCUGA
rnacentral:rRNA from 1 species